rnacentral:rRNA from 1 species
UACAGAGGUCUCAAGCGUUGUUCGGAUUCAUUGGGCGUAAAGGGUGCGUAGGUGGCGGGGUAAGUCAGGUGUGAAAUUUCGGAGCUUAACUCCGAAACUGCAUUUGAUACUGCCUUGCUUGAGGACUGGAGAGGAGACUGGAAUUCACGGUGUAGCAGUGAAAUGCGUAGAGAUCGUGAGGAGGACCAGUGGCGAAGGCGGGUCUCUGGACAGUUCCUGACACUGAGGCACGAAGGCCAGGGGAGCAAACGGG